rfam:Salmonella enterica subsp. enterica serovar Newport str. S09097 S_Newport_S09097_mira454_c200, whole genome shotgun sequence.
GUUACAGGACGACCUGUAAACGCUAUUCUCACCGGGGACGGCCCC